AUUGAACGCUGGCGGCAGGCCUAACACAUGCAAGUCGAACGAGUGGCGGACGGGUGAGUAAUGUCUGGGCAACUGCCCGAUGGAGGGGGAUAACUACUGGAACCGGUAGCUAAUACCGCAUCCCAUCGGAUGUGCCCAGAUGGGAUUAGCUAGUAGGUGGGGUAACGGCUCACCUAGGCGACGAUCCCUAGCUGGUCUGAGAGGAGGACCAGCCACACUGGAACUGUGACACGGUCCAGACUCCUACGUGAGGAAGCAGUGGGGAAUAUUGCACAAUGGGAGAAAGCCUGAUGCAGCCAUGCCGAGUGUAUGAAGAGGGCUUUCGGGUUGUAAAGUACUUUCAGCGAGGAGGCGUUACUCGCAGAAGAAGCACCGGCUAACUCCGUGCCAGCCGCCGCGGUAAUUC
rnacentral:rRNA from 1 species